GAUGAACGCUGGCGGCGUGCCUAAUACAUGCAAGUCGAGCGAACGGACGAGAAGCUUGCUUCUCUGAUGUUAGCGGCGGACGGGUGAGUAACACGUGGAUAACCUACCUAUAAGACUGGGAUAACUUCGGGAAACCGGAGCUAAUACCGGAUAAUAUUUUGAACCGCAUGGUUCAAAAGUGAAAGACGGUCUUGCUGUCACUUAUAGAUGGAUCCGCGCUGCAUUAGCUAGUUGGUAAGGUAACGGCUUACCAAGGCAACGAUGCAUAGCCGACCUGAGAGGGUGAUAGGCCACCCUGGAACUGAGACACGGUCCAGACUCCUACGGGAGGCAGCAGUAGGGAAUCUUCCGAAAUGGGCGAAAGCCUGACGGAGCAACGCCGCGUGAGUGAUGAAGGUCUUCGGAUCGUAAAACUCUGUUAUUAGGGAAGAACAUAUGUGUAAGUAACUGUGCACAUCUUGACGGUACCUAAUCAGAAAGCCACGGCUAACUACGUG
rnacentral:rRNA from 1 species